AUGGCUAUAUCGUGUUGAGACACCGGUUUUCUUUCGAUGACUAAAGUUAAGCAACGUCGAGUCUGGUCAGUACCUAGAUGGGUAACCGCUUGGGAAUACCAGGUGUUGCAAGC